UCUUUAACUUAUAAACAGGCUCACUAAUUCAUUUUCCUCUGCCUAACCCGCUUGUCAGCACCCGGGCCGGCUGCUCGGCGGACUGUACAACACAGCUGGGAACGGCCUGGUUUCUGUCACCUCAAGAGGGACUAAAAGAAGGGAAAGCCCCUGCCAUUGGUGGUGUGGGACACAAUGGUGUUUGCCAGCAUCUCUAAUCUGGUAUUAGCAGAGAGAGAGGACUUCUGGCAGAUAACACCAGGGAGCAGAGCGGAGGAGAACCCAGCUGAUCUCUGUUUUUCAACCAUGAUCUCUCACCAUGAUCCCUCUGAUCCUCCACCAUGGCCCACCAACUGUCGCUGUCUCAGUUCCAGCUGCUUACAAUGAAAAAAUGUCUUUCAUCAGCAUGGGCUGCAAAUGGGGCCUUCUGCUACUAUGGCAUUAAUACAGUCCCCUCCAAAAGUAUUGGAACAGUGAGGCCCAUUUCUUUAUUCGUGCUGUAGCCUGAAAACAUUUGGGUUUGACAUUAAAAGAUGAAUAUAAGAC